AAACCGGAGCUAAUACCGGAUAAUAUAUUGAACCGCAUGGUUCAAUAGUGAAAGACGGUUUUGCUGUCACUUAUAGAUGGAUCCGCGCCGCAUUAGCUAGUUGGUAAGGUAACGGCUUACCAAGGCGACGAUGCGUAGCCGACCUGAGAGGGUGAUCGGCCACACUGGAACUGAGACACGGUCCAG
rnacentral:rRNA from 1 species